AUUGAACGCUGGCGGCAGGCCUAACACAUGCAAGUCGAGCGAGCGGCGGACGGGUGAGUAAUGUAUGGGGACUGCCCGUUAGAGGGGGCUAACUACUGGAAACGGUAGCUACUACCGCAUACUAUCGGAUAACCCAUAUGGGGUUAGGUCGUAGGUGAGGUAAUGGCUCACCUAGGCGACGAGCCCUAGAUGGUCUGAGAGGAUGAUCAGCCACAUUGGGACUGAGAAAAGGCCCAGACUCCGACGGAGGCAGCAGUGGGGAAUAUUGCACAAUGGGCGCAAGCCUGAUGCAGCCAUGCCGCGUGGAGGAAGAAGGCCCUAGGGUUGUAAAGUACUUUCAGUCGGGAGGCGUUACCGGCAGAAGAAGCACCGGCUAACUCCGUGCCAGCAGCCGCGGUAAUUC
rnacentral:rRNA from 1 species